GAACGAACGCUGGCGGCGUGCUUAACACAUGCAAGUCGAGCGGGAAAGUUUCCUUCGGGAAGCGAGUACAGCGGCAGACGGGUGAGUACAACGUAGGUAACCUACCCUCGAGACCGGGAUAACCUGUCGAAAGACGGGCUAAUACCGGAUAAGACCACAAGGGCUGCGGCCUUUGAGGUAAAAGAUGGCCUCUGCUUUGCAAGCUAUCACUUGGGGAUGGGCCUGCGCGCCAUUAGCAGUUGGUGAGGUAACGGCUCACCAAGGCAAAGAUGGCUAGCUGGUCUGAGAGGAUGGCCAGCCACACUGGGACUGAGACACGGCCCAGACUCCGUACGGGAGGCAGCAGUGGGGGAAUAUUGC
rnacentral:rRNA from 1 species